rnacentral:rRNA from 1 species
UACGUAGGGAGCAAGCGUUGUCCGGAAUCAUUGGGCGUAAAGCGCACGUAGGCGGAUUGUUAAGUCAGGGGUGAAAUCCUGGAGCUCAACUCCAGAACUGCCUUUGAUACUGGCGAUCUCGAGUCCGGGAGAGGUGAGUGGAACUGCGAGUGUAGAGGUGAAAUUCGUAGAUAUUCGCAAGAACACCAGUGGCGAAGGCGGCUCACUGGCCCGGUACUGACGCUGAGGUGCGAAAGCGUGGGGAGCAAACAGG